rnacentral:rRNA from 1 species
CCCUUCCAGAGGGGGACAACAGUUGGAAACGACUGCUAAUACCGCAUACGAUCUGACCUCGGCAUCGAGGAUAGAUGAAAGGUGGCCUCUAUUUAUAAGCUAUCACUGAAGGAGGGGAUUGCGUCUGAUUAGCUAGUUGGAGGGGUAACGGCCCACCAAGGCGAUGAUCAGUAGCCGGUCUGAGAGGAUGAACGGCCACAUUGGGACUGAGACACGGCCCAG